UUUAAGUUUAACGGUUUAUGUACACAUUUUUGUCGCUAAUCUGCCUAUAAUUCAACGCUUGUAUUGCGUUACUGUUAUUUUCUAAGUUUUUACAGCUUACUAAUGCAAAUAAACUAAACUUAGGUCUACUAUUAUUGAUUCAAAUAUCUACAAAGUGGCAUUGAGAUUACCAAUUCUGUAUUGGUGAGUGAAUCUUAAUCGGAGGAUGCUAUGACUUUUGCAGAUAAACUCAUUUUUUCAGAUAGGCCAUAGCAUAGUACUAAAUGAUUCUUGGAAUGCAAAAAUUGAACCAAAGACGAAGACGUAAACCAAUAGAAGCGACUGAGAACAAGAAAGUGUUCAAUUAAAAACAAAUCGUGUUUAUGCAAACUGACGGAAUGUAAACAAGCUGCGAAUGUUGACAUUGGGGACUGCUUGAGCGGAACAGACACUACGGAUAAAUAAAUAUCCAUUAAAUUAGGGAUUUCAGUUAGGCCAUAAUAUAUAGCACUAGAUUGAUAUUGAAUAGAGUAUUUGUGUGGUAUCAAGACUCCGGGGAAGAUAUGGCUGUGCAAAAAGGUUUGAACCAUUUCAGAAAUAAAGUCAACAUCGGCAUUAAAACUCGACAAUGAUGCGAUAAUGCAGGGAUGUUUCCGAUAUGGUACAGCUAUACUAAUGUAGUUAGGCCUAGGUGUAGGCCUACAAUUGUUGAUUCAUAUAUGUGUGCACGUGUACGAAGUGGAAAAGUUGAAGAAAAGGGUGAAAAAAAGAUAAAAACGAAGUGGUGUUAGGGCGAUGGUUAAUGCGAGUCGGAGACUUUCGGAAAGUAUGGUUGAAGGGAUGCAAUCAAGGAUUAAUAAGGUAACUUAAUAUUUAAUCUAAUAGAACAGCCAUAAGUGUCUUCUUAUAUAUCCCUCAAAAUACUUUCAAUAACAUAUGAAGGCUACAUACUACUGGGCACAUACGUCGAGCAUCGUACUAUUGUUGCAUUCAAAUUUAUAUUUUCAAUAAAUUCCAAUGUAUGCGAUUUUAUACAUUAACUAACCCAACAACAAUUAACAAAUGGUUUGGAUUUCUUUGCUUGCUUCCGUUUUCUUACAGGCGAUUCAUAACUCCUUUUUAGUCGUAUUUUUUACUUAGCAGUUAGAAUAUGAUUAGGCCUACAAUUAAUUGUUGAUUCGGGUUGGAAUCGGAUCGCAACUUCUGGAAUUGUUCGAAAACGAAAAGAGAGAUACAAUGCAGCAUAAUGUUUUAAUUAUGGCUGAUGUUUAUUUUUUAAUCUGACUCAACGAAGGGCGGCGAUCAAGAAAGCUUGAAAUCGAGAAAAAAAGCAAACAAAAAAACUAUAUACAUUUGAUAUUGACGUGGUUGAUGGACGUUUAACGCGACUGGAACUACAGGGCUUUACAAAGGUAGAAGAUAUUGUUACUGCUGGUGGUCGAGUGAAGGCUGGUCGCUGUAAACUGACAGGACUGAAUGUACAGGAGAGAAGACAAAUCUAC